CUGCUUAUCUCGAAUUUGGAA
rnacentral:siRNA from 1 species